CUUGGAGCCCUCUCUGACUAUGCAUCUGGCCCCUGAGAGGCCCCUGAAUGAACAGCAGGAAAAGGCACAUAAUCAUAAGAUGAUACGGAUCGAUAAAAGCACAGAGGAGCACCGUCACUAUCCUGAAGUCGUUUGGGAGCUGAGCCUUGGAUGGCAGACUUGCUGUGUCUGGGAGCACAGGAAAUGGUAUACAUGAGUUUACUUUACCAUGGUAAGGACAGUGGUGGUGAUGCCAUGGGCAAGGGACAAUCCUCUGUACCCUAAUAAAUCUGUACGUGUUCAGGAAAGACAAACACACCAGUGUGACAUUAGCAGCUUAUGAGGUAUAGUGAGUAGACUGAAGACUACUGAUUGAGGAUCACAGUAACACUGUAGCCUUCCCAGCAAUGUGUCUAGCCUGGAUUAGGGCAGUGACUGUGGCUAGAGCAGGACAGAAAGAGGGGAGAUGCAAAAGAUUUGCCCAUGGGUGGUGGGUAAGAGAGAGGAUUUCAGAAUAA
rnacentral:lncRNA from 1 species